AAAUUGAAGAGUUUGAUCAUGGCUCAGAUUGAACGCUGGCGGCAGGCCUAACACAUGCAAGUCGAGCGGUAGCACAGAGAGCUUGCUCUCGGGUGACGAGCGGCGGACGGGUGAGUAAUGUCUGGGAAACUGCCUGAUGGAGGGGGAUAACUACUGGAAACGGUAGCUAAUACCGCAUAACGUCGCAAGACCAAAGUGGGGGACCUUCGGGCCUCAUGCCAUCAGAUGUGCCCAGAUGGGAUUAGCUAGUAGGUGGGGUAACGGCUCACCUAGGCGACGAUCCCUAGCUGGUCUGAGAGGAUGACCAGCCACACUGGAACUGAGACACGGUCCAGACUCCUACGGGAGGCAGCAGUGGGGAAUAUUGCACAAUGGGCGCAAGCCUGAUGCAGCCAUGCCGCGUGUAUGAAGAAGGCCUUCGGGUUGUAAAGUACUUUCAGCGGGGAGGAAGGCGAUAAGGUUAAUAACCUUGUCGAUUGACGUUACCCGCAGAAGAAGCACCGGCUAACUCCGUGCCAGCAGCCGCGGUAAUACGGAGGGUGCAAGCGUUAAUCGGAAUUACUGGGCGUAAAGCGCACGCAGGCGGUCUGUCAAGUCGGAUGUGAAAUCCCCGGGCUCAACCUGGGAACUGCAUUCGAAACUGGCAGGCUAGAGUCUUGUAGAGGGGGGUAGAAUUCCAGGUGUAGCGGUGAAAUGCGUAGAGAUCUGGAGGAAUACCGGUGGCGAAGGCGGCCCCCUGGACAAAGACUGACGCUCAGGUGCGAAAGCGUGGGGAGCAAACAGGAUUAGAUACCCUGGUAGUCCACGCCGUAAACGAUGUCGAUUUGGAGGUUGUGCCCUUGAGGCGUGGCUUCCGGAGCUAACGCGUUAAAUCGACCGCCUGGGGAGUACGGCCGCAAGGUUAAAACUCAAAUGAAUUGACGGGGGCCCGCACAAGCGGUGGAGCAUGUGGUUUAAUUCGAUGCAACGCGAAGAACCUUACCUGGUCUUGACAUCCACAGAACUUAGCAGAGAUGCUUUGGUGCCUUCGGGAACUGUGAGACAGGUGCUGCAUGGCUGUCGUCAGCUCGUGUUGUGAAAUGUUGGGUUAAGUCCCGCAACGAGCGCAACCCUUAUCCUUUGUUGCCAGCGGUUCGGCCGGGAACUCAAAGGAGACUGCCAGUGAUAAACUGGAGGAAGGUGGGGAUGACGUCAAGUCAUCAUGGCCCUUACGACCAGGGCUACACACGUGCUACAAUGGCAUAUACAAAGAGAAGCGACCUCGCGAGAGCAAGCGGACCUCAUAAAGUAUGUCGUAGUCCGGAUUGGAGUCUGCAACUCGACUCCAUGAAGUCGGAAUCGCUAGUAAUCGUAGAUCAGAAUGCUACGGUGAAUACGUUCCCGGGCCUUGUACACACCGCCCGUCACACCAUGGGAGUGGGUUGCAAAAGAAGUAGGUAGCUUAACCUUCGGGAGGGCGCUUACCACUUUGUGAUUCAUGACUGGGGUGAAGUCGUAACAAGGUAACCGUAGGGGAACCUGCGGUUGGAUCACCUCCUUA
rnacentral:rRNA from 1 species